UUGACCUCGAAUCAGGUAGGACUAC
rnacentral:rRNA from 1 species